rnacentral:piRNA from 1 species
UCCUUUCUUUGGAGGUGUAGUGCCACAUU